GACGAACGCUGGCGGCGUGCUUAACACAUGCAAGUCGAACGGAAAGGCCCUGCUUUUGUGGGGUGCUCGAGUGGCGAACGGGUGAGUAACACGUGAGUAACCUGCCCUUGACUUUGGGAUAACUUCAGGAAACUGGGUCUAAUACCGGAUAGGAGCUCCUGCUGCAUGGUGGGGGUUGGAAAGUUUCGGCGGUUGGGGAUGGACUCGCGGCUUAUCAGCUUGUUGGUGGGGUAGUGGCUUACCAAGUCUUUGAAGGGUAGCCGGCCUGAGAGGGUGACCGGCCACAUUGGGACUGAGAUACGGCCCAGACUCCUACGGGAGGCAGCAGUGGGGAAUAUUGCACAAUGGGCGGAAGCCUGAUGCAGCAACGCCGCGUGCGGGAUGACGGCCUUCGGGUUGUAAACCGCUUUCGCCUGUGACGAAGCGUGAGUGACGGUAAUGGGUAAAGAAGCACCGGCUAACUACGUG
rnacentral:rRNA from 1 species